ensembl:lncRNA
AAAAGGGAAAUCCUAAAAGUCUAUAACAGAUACAAGGAAUAUCUGAAAUCUUUUUCUCAAUUUCCAGGUGUUUGCCACUGGAAUAACUUGGAGUCAGCCAGCCGUGUAUGCUACUUUCUGCCAAAGACUUUUGGGCCAUGGGGUUUCUUCACUACAAAGCUUUUCUGGAAGAGUUGAAGGAGGCGUUACUGAGUCAUAUAUGCCAGUUGCACACAAAUCCACCAUCUGAGGAAAACCUCCCUGUUGAUCGUCUUCCCUCUGAAAGUGGCCGCAGCUCAUCACAUGAGCUUUGCAGAAGAAAUUAGCCUGCUGUACCCGUCACCAAACAAAGGCAGAAAGGUUUGUCCCCAAAGUUCAAGGGAGCCCCUCAGCUCUGAGGCCAUCUACUCCCGAGAGGCAGAACAUGCUGGGUAACUACCAAAUCCUCACACUGGGGAGAAAUCAAAGGCAGGUGAACCACAGGGGAGCCUGUUGCUUCAGACUAGGCUGCUAGUCACUGCUCCUAAAAACUCAAACACAAGCUAUUGUUGGAAUUUCUGGGAACCAGAGUGACCCCACAGCCAGUAAGACCAAGGGAGUGACUUCCUGCAUUACUCUGAGUCCCCAAGUGUCUUUGUAAUUAGCUUAUAUUGGUUAGUAUAUGUGACUCUCCCUUUUGUUUCUCUCUUUGGAGAUCUAUCAGCAUUAUUUUUGUUGUUCAGUUGCUAAGUCAUGUUCAACUAUUUGCGAACUCUUGGACUGCAGCAUGGAAGGCUUCCUUGUCCUUCACCAUAUCCUUGAGUUUGCUCAAACUCAUGUCCAUUGAGUGGGUGAUGUCAUCCAACCAUCUCAUCCUCUGUCUCCUUCUCCUCCUGCCUUCAAUCUUUCCUAGUAUCAGGGUCUUUUCCAAUUAGUCUUCACAUCAGGUGCCCAAAUUAUUGGAGCUUUAGCUUCAGCAUCAGUCCUUCCAAUGAAUAUUGAGGGUUGAUUUCAUUUAGGAUUGAUUAGUUUGAUCUCCUUGCAGUCCAAGGGAUUCUCAAGAGUUUUUUCUAAUGCCACAGCUCAAAAGCAUCUUUUCUUCGAUGCUCAGCCUUCUAUUAUGGUCCAACUCUCACACCCAUACAUGACUACUGGAAAAACCUUAGCUUAGACUAUAUAGACUUUUGUUGGCAAAGUGACGUUUCUGCUUUCUAAUAUGCUGUCUAGGUUCUUCUUUGCCUUUCUUCCAAGGAGCAAGCGUCUUUUUGCAUUUCAUGGCGGAAGUCACUAUCCACAGUGAUUUUCAUGCCCAAGAAAAUGAAGUCUAUCACUAUUUCCAUUUUUCCC